rnacentral:rRNA from 1 species
GAUGAACGCUGGCGGCGUGCCUAAUACAUGCAAGUCGAGCGAACGGACGAGAAGCUUGCUCCUCUGAUGUUAGCGGCGGACGGGUGAGUAACACGUGGAUAACCUACCUAUAAGACUGGGAUAACUUCGGGAAACCUGAGCUAAUACCGGAUGAUAUUUUGAACCGCAUGGUUCAAAAGUGAAAGACGGUCUUGCUGUCACUUAUAGAUGGAUCCGCGCUGCAUUAGCUAGUUGGUAAGGUAACGGCUUACCAAGGCAACGAUGCAUAGCCGACCUGAGAGGGUGAACGGCCACACGGGAACUGAGACACGGUCCAGACUCCUACGGGAGGCAGCAGUAGGGAAUCUUACGCAAUGGGCGAGAGCCUGACGGAGCAACGCCGCGGGAGUGAUGAAGGUCUUCGGAUCGUAAAACUCUGUUAUUAGGGAAGAACAUAUGUGUAAGUAACUGUGCACAUCUUGACGGUACCUAAUCAGAAAGCCACGGCUAACUACGUG